GAUGAACGCUGGCGGCGUGCCUAAUACAUGCAAGUCGAGCGAACAGAUGAGGAGCUUCUCCUCUGACGUUAGCGGCGGACGGGUGAGUAACACGUGGAUAACCUACCUAUAAGACUGGGAUAACUUCGGGAAACCGGAGCUAAUACCGGAUAAUAUAUUGAACCGCAUGGUUCAAUAGUGAAAGACGGUUUUGCUGUCACUUAUAGAUGGAUCCGCGCCGCAUUAGCUAGUUGGUAAGGUAACGGCUUACCAAGGCAACGAUGCGUAGCCGACCUGAGAGGGUGAUCGGCCACACUGGAACUGAGACACGGUCCAGACUCCUACGGGAGGCAGCAGUAGGGAAUCUUCCGCAAUGGGCGAAAGCUUGACGGAGCAACGCCGCGUGAGUGAUGAAGGUCUUCGGAUCGUAAAACUCUGUUAUUAGGGAAGAACAAAUGUGUAAGUAACUAUGCACGUCUUGACGGUACCUAAUCAGAAAGCCACGGCUAACUACGUG
rnacentral:rRNA from 1 species